UUGAGGUCCGUGAACAAUCAGAAACAAAAAACACGGGAGCGGUUCCUUCCUGAUUUUCGCAUGUCAUGCAUGCCAGGGGGCGUCCGUGAUUUUUACUGUGACUAAAAAAGUGUGACCAAAGCAGUCAUUCGACUUGAAUUAGAAAAGCAUGGGAAUAACAAAGGCAGCAGCACUAUGGGGCCACCGAUUUCGUGCUUUCUGUUGGUUUUUAAAAAGUCCCAUUGGGAAGAUUAAUGGCGGUCCGUGCCGAACAAAGCGGUCCUGGGGUGUUUUUCCCCAUCUUUUGAGGGCCACCCCGAUCGCCCCUUUGCCGGGGAAAUUCCGUG
rnacentral:rRNA from 1 species